CGACCUCAGGUCGGGCGAGAGGACCCGCUGGAUUUAAGCAUAUCACUAAGCGGAGGAAAAGAAACUAACAAGGAUUCCCCUAGUAGCGGCGAGCGAAGCGGGAAGAGCCCAUCGCCGAAUCCCCGGGCCCCACCGAGGGCUCGAGGGAACUGUGGCGUAAGGAAGUCCACCCCCGCGGCCGUGCCGGCGCCGAGGUCCUUCUGAUUGAGGCGUGCUCCGUCCCAGGGCGGGUGUCAGGCCCAGGCGGGCGCCAGCCGGUCGCGGACAAGGGCCUCCGGGAGUCGGGUUGUUUUGUAGCGCAGCCCAAAGAAGGGUGGUAAACUCCAUCCAAGGCUAAAUACCUUGCACGAGACCGAUAGAGCACAAGUACCGUGAGGGAAAGUUGAAAAGCACUCUGAAGAGAGAGUUCAAGAGUACGUGAAGCCGCUGAGAAGUAAACGGGAGGGCCGCGCAGAUCGGGCCCGGGAGAUUCAGCGCGGCCGGCGCGGUGCCCAUCGGGUCCCCGCACGCACUCGAGGCGGCGGGGCCCGGGGGUGUCGGCGCUCGGCCGCGUGCACUUCUCCCGGGCGCGGCGCCCGCGACCGGUUGGGUCGCCGGCAGAGGCCGGCCGGGUGGGGUGCCUCCGACCAUGCCGGGUCCCCGACGGGGGGCCUGGCCGGAGAGCCUAUAGCCCGGCCGCUUUGCGCCGGCGGCACAGACCGAGGUAUGGACGACGGGCCGCGCCUGCCCCGGGGUCGGAGCCUUCGGGCCGAGACCUCUGUGGGGCCCUGGUCGCCCGGGAAUCCGGCGAGCCCCCCCCGCUGCAACCGUUCUCGGUGGCGGCGGGGCGUUUGUGCGUUCCUGGAACCCGGAUACGAUCUUGACAAGGCGCCCCGGGUCCGCGGGCGAUUGUCGUGAGCCUUGCCGACCCGUCUUGAAACACGGACCAAGGAGUCUAUCGGGCCCGCAAGUCGGAGGGCCGCCAGUCGAGGCCCCGAGGCGCAACGAGAGUGAAGGCCGGCUCCGGUCCGGCCGAGGCGGGAUCCGGCCCCCAGGGGGCCGGCGCACCGCCGCCCUGCCACGAGCCCCCGCGGCUGUGGCGGAGGAAGAGCGGGCACGCUAGGACCCGAAAGAUGGUGAACUAUGCCCGAGCAGGACGAAGCCAGAGGAAACUCUGGUGGAGGUCCGCAGCGAUUCUGACGUGCAAAUCGAUCGUCCGACUUGGGUAUAGGGGCGAAAGACUAAUCGAACCGUCUAGUAGCUGGUUCCCUCCGAAGUUUCCCUCAGGAUAGCUGGCGCCCGGUAGUUGCAGUUGCAUCCGGUAAAGCGAAUGAUUAGAGGCCUUGGGGCCGAAACGACCUCAACCUAUUCUCAAACUUUAAAUUGGUGCGAGGCCCGACCCGCCGGCUCGGGGCCGGGCACUCAGAGAGAAUGCACGGGCGCCCAGUGGGCCAUUCUUGGUAAGCAGGACUGGCGCUGCGGGAUGAACCGAACGCCGGGUUACGGCGCCGCAUUGCGGCCGACGCUCAUCAGAGCCCAGAAAAGGCGUUGGUUGAUACAGACAGCAGGACGGUGGCCAUGGAAGUCGGAAUCCGCUAAGGAGUGUGUAACAACUCACCUGCCGAAUCAACUAGCCCUGAAAAUGGAUGGCGCUGAGCGUGCCGCCCAUACCCGGCCGUCGGGGCAGAGAGCGAGGACCGCCCCCCGGGUGGUAUGCCCCGACGAGUAGGAGGGCCGCCGCGGUGUGCGUCGAAGCGCCGGCCGUGGGGCCGCGUGGAGCCGCCGCGGGCGCAGAUCUUGGUGGUAGUAGCAAAUAUUCGAGUGAGAUCCUCGAGGACCGAGUGGCGGAGAAGGGUUCCAUGUGAACAGCAGUUGUACAUGGGUCAGUCGAUCCUAAGCCCCAGGGAAGUUCCGCUCCGAGCGGAGGCGGGCGCCCCUCUCCAUGCGAGCGGGGGCCUCGCUCCCCGGGCGAAAGGGAAUCGGGUCAAUAUUCCCGAACCCGGAGGCGGAGCCCUCCGUCUUCGUGGCGGUCCGAGCUGUAAAGCGAGCGAGCCCGCAGACGCCGGCCGGGGCCCCGGGAAGAGUUUUCUUUUCUUGGUAAGGGGCGGGAUCCCUGGAAUCGGCUUGUCCGGAGCUAGGGGCUGCGGCCCCGUAGAGCGCCGCGUCUCCGGCGGCGUCCGGCGAGCUCCGGCCGGCCCUUGAAAAUGCGGGGGAGUGCGUGGACCGUCGCCUCGGGUCGUACCGAUAACCGCAGCCGGUCUCCAAGGUGAACAGCCUCUGGUCGAUAGAACAAUGUAGGUAAGGGAAGUCGGCAAGCCGGAUCCGUAACUUCGGGAGAAGGAUUGGCUCUGAGGGCUGGGUCGGUCGGGCCGGGGCUGGAAGCGGGCUGCGGAGCCCCGGCGCGGGCCGGGCGAGCGGGUGGCGGCCGGGCGAAGGUCGGUCGCGCGCGCCGGGUCCGGGCGGUGCGGUCUCUCCGUCUCGCGUCCCCGGGCGGGGCCCGCGGUGCGCCUUCCCUGACCCUCCUCGCCUCCGGGCGUUGGACGGGGAUGGGUUGGCCCCGCGGUGUCCUCCGUUCGAGGCGCGGGCGGGCCGGGGCCCCCGUCCGCCGGUGCGCCGGCUCCUGAGCCUCCGUCGCCGGGCGAGCCCGGACCGGCGUGGGGCCCGCCUCGUGGACAGUCCUGGCUGCGCGGCCGCCUCGUGCGGUCGCUUCGGCCGGCACCCAACAGCCGGCUCAGAACUGGUACGGACCAGGGGAAUCCGACUGUCUAAUUAAAACAGAGCAUUGCGACGUCCGCAGCCGGGGCGUUGACGCAAUGUGAUUUCUGCCCAGUGCUCUGAAUGUCAAAGUGAAGAAAUUCAGCGAAGCGCGGGUAAACGGCGGGAGUAACUAUGACUCUCUUAAGGUGAGGACUGGAUAAAUCUAAAUAACUUUUAGAAACAUCCGGACCCCAUUACAGCGUUCUCGAAUACAUCUUGAGUAACUGGCAUGACAUCCUAAAUCAUAAACUCUGAAAAAUGGGGUGGUACAACCCUGGACUGGGUUUUUCAGAAUGAACAGGCCGUCGCAUCUCGGUAAGAAAAAGCCGAUGUCGGGAGAACGAAUGCGUAGUGCUGGGGAUGCUAGACCCGGAGACGACCCAAUACAGAAAUAUGUCUAUACGCAAUAGACAUACGGAUGAAUGGGGUUUCGAUAGUAAAUGGUGCAUACCGGUAGCAGUGAGACAGUCGUGUUUCGACACGGAGCUACAGGCGAGGAAAUGCCCAGAGAUAGUCGGUCAUCAAAGGAUAUCCUAUGCGCAGAGGAUCCACCCUUCAAGGAAGGGUACCGUAACUAGCAACCUUGACGAGGUAAGAGAGCUCAGCGGGAGAGAAAGGAACUGGAGGGCACUACCCCUCCAACCUCUCUCUCCCAAAAACCAAUGCUAGUAUGGAUAAAAUGCGCAACAACCCUCCCGACAUUGCAACAAACCAAUCAUGAUAUUACAAAUAAAAGCAAUGAACAUGCCAGCGGAGGCGCCGCCUGGAACCACUCGAAGGCCUCGUGCUUCACCCAAAAGUGCCCAAUGGGGAAGUUCUAUUAAAGACAGAACACCGGCAACCGCGACGACGGUCGUGGAGCCAGUUCUGCCUUUUGGUACUCAUCACACCUCACCCCAAGGUGUGAUUGACCGUGCGUGGGGUAUUCCAUUAAGCACAGUGGUGCAUACAGAUAAUGACAAUAGCGCCAACCGAUUUCAGAUGAUAGAGACGUUUACCAUCUGGAACUCGAAGAGGUAUACCGGAAGGGAAAUGCCUCUGGCAGCUAUAGCGGUUGGGACAGAUACUGUCGACCAACCAGCAGGGGAAGUGACCACCCCCCAGAGAGAGGAACAGAUGUCACCAAUGAGGGGUGACGACAUCAUCAUUGAUCUAACAGAACCAAGUACACCAGAAGCGGAAGCCCAAAGGGCGGCUAUCAGCCCGCAUGGGGUAUUAAGAGAGAGGCCCUCACAUAGAGAUGAUGAUGUCAUUGACCUAACGACGUCAAAUAAACCAGAAGCGGUAACCCCAAGGGAGGUUAACAGCCCGCGAGGUAUAGAAGAACUAUCGGAGAGUAGCGAUGACGGAGGAACGGAGGUAGGAACCCCACCAAGGGAGGAAGAGACAUUAGUCGAGACCGUAGACGAAAGCGAGCUAGAGGCCGUGGUAAGCUACUCUGUCCCCUAUCGAGAGACAGCAUGUGCUCGAUGCCACGAACUCUUCCCAGCUCGAAAAAGUCUAGUGGACCACUAUAAGUCGCUUCACCCAAAAGUGGUGGUUCUAGGGGAAUGUGGAAAAUGCGGACGAAGAUACCAAAAAUUCCAAGCACUUGCCUGCCAUGCGGGUAAAUGCCAGGGAAAGAUCCCAACCCCAACCCCACACCCGUUCCCUUGUAAGAUCUGCGGCCAAACCUUCAGAUCGAAGAUUGGACUGGGCCAACACGAGCGCCACCAACAUCCCAAUCAUAGAAACGAAGAACGGCUGUGUAAAAAGGCCGCCGAUGCAACCAGAAAGAGGCAAACUAGAUCAACGACAACCAACGCGGCACAGGCUAGGGUUCAAGUCUGGACCGAGGAGGAAGUCGAUCGCCUCGGGGAUUUGGAGAAGCAGUUUGCGGGCGAAAAAUACAUCAACAAAUGCAUAGCUGAGUAUCUGCCGGGGAAGACUUGCAAGCAGAUCAGUGACAAGCGUCGCGGUCUGAAAAGAACAAACCAACAGGUGCCUUUAAAGCCCAAAUCAAGGGCAGCGGUCAAAGUGCCGACACCGACGUCAGCACUGAACAAAAAGGCAUACCUGGAGUUCGUAGGUCUAAACCCGGAGACUCAGAUGGGCAAAUGCAUUGCCAAGGAAGCUCGAUCUAGCGAGCCUUCUAAUUGGCAUGAGAUCGAAGCGGAAAGUACAAGACUGCUCAACGCCAAGACCUCAAAGAAACCGCAAUCGGGAAGGGCGAAAAACAACAAGCGGAAAGUUGAUGUACGAGAAGGAGCAAACACCGGCAAAUC